CUAGGAGAUCCAGUCGAGAGAGAGAAAGAGAUCAGUAUCGCUUCCCCGAAUCGUUCUCCUCCGGCGUGAAUUUCGCAAAGGUUGUGAUUUUUGGCAAGAAUGGCGGAGCAGGAACUGAACCAAUUGAGAGGGGUAGCAACGGCAGCAGUAGAUGCCUUCACUGACGUAACGCACGAGCAGAUUUUUGAGUACAUUGAAGGAGUAAUAUUCUGUAUUCGGAUUCAUUCAUUCUUGUGAUUCAAAACUUUUUAAUUUGACUUGGAAUAAGAUUUUUUUUUUGCUAAUAAUAAUAAUCUUGGUUUGGUUUGGUUUGGUUUGAGUUGGUUUGGUAGGAGAAUAAUAUCCAGAAUGUUGAGUUUGCCAUCAACAGACUGACAACCAUCCUAAAUAUCACCAAUCCUAAUCAUUAUAACGGACAGAUUCCUCCAGAGAAUAUGAACCUAGGGGAAUUGAACGAAGUGAGAGUUGUAGCAACAGAUGCACUCAAUUUUUUCAGAAGUAGGAUUCCAUUAAUUUUAAACUCCAUCAAUGCGGAUGCCAUCAACCGACUCAAUCAAAUCAACUUUGCUAUUACCAAUCCGGCUCCAGUAAUGCGCACGCACGCACUUCCAGUAACAGGGUCUUUUUUAAGUAAAAAAAAAAA